rnacentral:misc_RNA from 1 species
CUGAGGUCGCUUUGAUUAAGAUUUGUUCCUCUUUUUUUUUCUAAUUCUUUCCGAGUUUUGGAUUGGUGGAGUUUGAAGCUGAUGAUUUGGGGUAAUGAGAGAGUAAACAAAACUUCUUAGAGGUAAAUUGGGGAAGGAAUUUGAGAAUUCGACGAGGAAUCGAGUUAUCAUUUGAUGCGUUAGAUAAGGAUUUGUCUUUUUCUUGUUUUUUUCCCCCCCUUGAUCUGGUUUGGUUCUAUUUUUGGCAAUUUUGGAUCUUGAAGAUUCUAAUAGGAAAAAUAGCUGAACAAGCAAAGCUUUACAUUUUCCUGCUUGAUUCGAUUUCAUUCAUCGCAAAGGAAGGCUAUCUGUUGCCGUUACGGAUCGUACAUUGUUCAAAAUUUGAGAGAAGUAUUAACGACUUGUCGUUUGGAAAGGAUAGUGCAAAAUGGAGAGAAAUGUGCAGGAUAGAAAGGAGUGAGAGAAAGAGUGGUGAAAUUGGGAAGAGAAGAGAAAGAGAGAAGGGGAUGGGAAUGGUAAACGGAAUGGUGAAAGGAGUAGAGAAGGUGAAGAGUAUAUCGAGAUCAAAAAUGAAGAUGUGGAUGAUACGCGCCACCACUUCGGUGUUGUUGUGGACAUGUGUCGUUCAAUUGACGACGAUCGGUGAGAUGUGGGGACCUAGGGUUUUGAAAGGAUGGCCCUCUUGUUUCUCGCAUGAAUCUGCUGCCGUCCUGGAGGAGAAAGUUCUCGCUGUGCCUGCUCGAGUGCUUCCACCGAAGAGAGCUUACAAGAACAAUGGCUACCUCAUGGUUUCAUGCAAUGGAGGUCUUAAUCAAAUGAGAGCUGCGAUAUGUGAUAUGGUCGCUAUUGCAAGAUAUUUGAAUGUAACACUUAUUGUUCCCGAGCUUGAUAAAACUUCCUUUUGGGCUGACCCCAGUGAGUUUCAAGAUAUAUUUGAUGUAGAACAUUUCAUUACAUCAUUGAGAGAUGAGGUUCGGAUAUUGAAAGAAUUGCCUCCUAGGUUGAAGAGGAGAAUGGAGCUAGGGAUGACU